rnacentral:lncRNA from 1 species
GAAGCGUAAUAAAAAUUUUGAUUAACAUCCCUUACACAAUAACCAAAACGUACUCAAAACAUGAAAGAACAAACUAAUUAAAAGAGAUACUCGAAAUAAAAACUAUAAAUAUAACUAUGGAGUCUUUAGGCGUCCCCUUCGCCGUCUUCUUGCAGAACGGGCUCGGGAACAACGUCUUCCUGAUCUGAAAUGGUUAAAUAAGGAAUGAGCUACACCAGCCCAGUAAAGACAUCAUACUAUCUCACCGCCACGGAAAUAAAGGUG